rnacentral:lncRNA from 1 species
AGCUUCAUUAUACUCUAAAAAGUCCAUUAGAACCAUCUUUAGACAAAUCAAAACCCUACUUAGGGUUUCACCAUGAGAGGUGAUGAAGCUCACCUCAAGCUUCACCAUUUCUAUGGUCUUGAUCUCAAAAGAAGCAAAAGGAAAGCUUCAAAGACUCUAAAUACUCCAUUAAAACCAUUUCUAGGUUAAUUCAAAGCCCAUUUUAGGGUUUUACUACAAUAGGGUUCAAAGCUCACCUUAUAAGCUUUCCUUUCUUGCACUAGAGAGGAAGAAGAUGAAGUUGCUUCACCUCUUGAUCUUCUUCUUCACCUUCUUUUCCUUCUUUUCCUUCCUUUCUUUCUUUCUUCUUCUUCUCCUUUGCCUUCUAGAGAGAGAGAGGGAGAGAAGAGAGUGUUUGAGAGGGUGAGAAUGAGAGAAAAUCUCAUUAGCCCUCAUAACAUAGCUAUUGGGUUGCAUAAUUGCAAAUAAACCCCUCAACUUUCACUUUAAUACACUGCCCGAACUGGGCAGUUCGCGCAGGCGGGGACCGGUCUCUCCUUCAGGGACCGGUUCCCGAAGGUCGUCCCAGCGCAGCCAGAGCUGCUGCGCACAGUGCAACCGGUCUCUCCUUGGGGGACCGGUCUCUCGAGGACCGGUCUCUCAGACAGGGACCGGUUCCCGAGAGCUGGUUUCUCAGGACUUAGCCGAUUUUUCGGCUGUCUCACUUCAUACGCGUUCGGGGACCGGUCUCUCCCACCAGGGACCGGUCCCCGAGAGCUCAAAACUGCAGAAUGCAGAUUUUGAUUCUAUAGCUCUCGAAAACCUCCCGC